rnacentral:ncRNA from 1 species
GCUUGCACUUUAUAGAACUUGAUUUUACAGGAUAACGAGGAGAGGGGAGUAUCGAAAAUUCGGCGGAUGCCCCUCCGCGGCCGCAGACACGUGACGGGUUCUACAAAUACGGGGGAGACCCCGGAACAGAAGG